rnacentral:lncRNA from 1 species
UUUUAAUUGUGUAGAAAGAUAGUACUAUGAUGUUAUAUGGUCUAUUUAAUGAAACAUGCUUGGUAUAAUUGGUUUUUAUUGUGUAGAAAGAUAGUACUAUGAUGUAAGAUGGUCUAUCCAAUGAAACAUGCUUGGUAUAAUUGGUUUUUAUUGUGUAGUAAGAUAGUACUAUGAUGUUAGAUGGUCUAUCUAAUGAAACAUGCUUGGUAUAAUUGGUUUUUAUUGUGUAGAAAGAUAGUACUAUGAUGUUAGAUGGUCUAUCUAAUAAAACAUGCUUGGUAUAAUUGGUUUUUAUUGCGUAGAAAGAUAGUACUAUGAUGUUAGAUGGGGUAUCUAAUGAAAAAUGCUUGGUAUAAUUGGUUUUUAUUGCGUAGAAAGAUAGUACUAUGAUGUUAGAUGGUCUAUCUAAUGAAACAUGCUUGGUAUAAUUGGUUUUUAUUGUGUAGAAAGAUAGUAAUAUGAUGUUAGAUGGUCUAUCUAAUGAAACAUGCUUGGUAUAAUUGGUUUUUAUUGUGUAGUAAGAUAGUACU